rnacentral:lncRNA from 1 species
AUUAUAUAAUAAAACUUUAUUUGAUAACAUAAAGCAACCUGUCUAAAAUCAAAUUUCUAAAUUACAAUAAUCACAGUGAUCUAAAAUAUACACCGUAUCACACAAUCACAGUGAAAUUAUAUUACAUCCUCACUAAAUAUAGCAAGUCUAUUUUUAUGGAAUAUGCAAUAACCUUACAAUCUCUAUUCUUACAUAUGCAGAAAAUAUGAAUUAAAUCAGAUGUGUGGAUGAACACAUUCAAAGAUGUAAAAGGGACUUUUUUUUUUUAUAAUAAGUUUGUAUCUGGAAUUUUGCAAUAACCUUAUAAUCUCUAUUCUUACAUAUGCAGAAUAUAUGAAUUCAAUUUGAUAUUUGUAUGGAGUUUAUCUUACACAUGACUCAGAUCAAUUACAAACGAAAGUGAAUCAACGUCUGGUGAAUCUGAAGUACGGUAGAGUCCAUAAAGUGGAUACCUCGGGUAUGCAGGGUCGUUAUGAUAAAAAACAUAAAAUGUAGAGAAUCUUUUAACAACAACACUUUAGAGACUGCUGCAGAAAUGUAUUGAUGGCACCGACAUCAGUAAUACUCUCUACAAAAGACUAAGAUGUAAAAGUGACAUUUUUUAAAUCAAAAGUUGGUAUCAGGAAUUAUGCAAUAACCUUUCAAUCUUUAUUCUUACAUAUGCAGAAUAUAUGAAUUAAAUUGGGUGUUGUAUGGAAAUUAUCUGACAUAAAACACAUUAAGAUGUAAAAGGGACUUUGUCUGAUAGAAGGUUUGUAUCAGGAAUUAUGCAAUAACUUUUUACAUGUGUAGAAUAUAUGAAUUAAAUCUGAUGUUUGGAUGGAUUAUCUUACAUACACAUUAAGAUGUAAAAGGGACCUUUUCUAAAUUAAAAAGUUAGUAUGCAAUAACCUUUCAAUCUCUGUUCUUACAUAAGCAGAAUGUAUGAAUUAAAUUGAGGUGUGGAUGGAAAUUAUUUUACAUAAAACAGUAAGAUGUAAAAGUUUGUAUCUUGAAUUAUGCAUUACUCUUACAAUCUCUAUUCUUACAUUAUGCAGAAUAUAUGAAUUAUGUUUGAAUGAAAAUUAUCUUACAUAAAUCAUACUGAGAUGAAUACAGGAAAGGCUCAAAAGUUAGUAUCCUGAGUGGUACGUGGAUAUUCAAUAAAACAACGAAUAUAUUAGUUGCUGCAAAAUUGAAAAUUGUGGAUUCAGGAUUGAAAAAAAAAAAUCCUCAUGUUAGUAGAACCAUGGUGGUAUCUACAUGGUCAAUUUAUGUAUAAAUAGAAAUGAUGUGAUGAAGAAAUAUUUCAACUUUUCAAAAUCAUACCACCAGUGGCAAUAUGCAGAACAAUUGCUAUAUAUAGCAUUGGAAAUAAUACAUCUCAGUGGACCAAGGGUCCAGUAAACUAAUGGAGAUUUCGACUUAAUUUCAGUUUAAAAGAUAAGAAUGGAUAAUGUAUGACAUAAAAUCCACCUAUUACACAAAGUGGUGUCAAUAAAAUAAACAAACCUCCAUUAAUAAAUGGUUUCAUUCAUUGCAUUAUUACUUAGGGUCAAUUUAAAUAUAACUGUCCAAGUAUCUCUUAUUCUUUAUUCAUUUAAAACCCUAUUUGACAAGCUGGAUAUAUUAACAAUAAAACAUAAAUAGUUUCAUUUCUUGCAACGUUUAUUUUGAAAAUUAGCGUAUUCAGUUAAUUGUUUACGAAACAGAUUCUGACAUUUUACCAAAUUAUUAAAUAAUAUUUACCAGUCUCCAUUGUUAAAUACUCAAAAAAAAAUUAAAUGAAAUAUCUCAAUGUAUCUUGAGAAAAAAAAUCAUAACCAAAGAUGAAGAAUUUAUAUAUUCUUUCAAUUAUCGAAUAAAGGAUUGUGUUUUUCAAUCACCCCAGAAUAUGGCUUAUAACAGAUGUUACAGAUACAGACAUUAAUAUAUUACUUUUUUUUUCACAAAGCACACCAAAAUGAGGUAAUAUAUAGGUAUAUAUUAUACAUAGGAUUUCUAUUCGAUUAAAUUAAGUAAAAAUAAAAUUCUACAAAACAUAAUUAAAACAAAAUUUUAAUACUAUCUUAUGGCUCAAUACAAAUAUAUGACUACAUAGGAUAAAAAAAAAAGUCAGAUUAUUAUCUCCCUUGAAUUUCUCAAAGAGUUAGAAAGUAAGACAAUCUAAAUUUCAGUAAUAUGUACUUUGUGCCUUUACUCAUGUAUGAAUCUGUUCUCUUCCAAUUUAGAGAAUGCACAUCACCACAAGCAAGUAAGAGAGUCUAAGGAUCUACUUCGAUCACCAAGCAACCACUGUCACGAGUUUGAUGCAUGCAAUAUUUUAAUGAUUACAGAAACACGACUAUGAGAAUUCUUUAACACUGUUUUAAAGUCUGCCUAUUAAUAAGUAAUAAGAAUAGAUCAGUACACAUAAAAAUGAUUUUAGACAAGAGAGUCAACUCAAAAAAGCUUCAUACGACAAAUAAGACAGACAUAAACUUAAAUUUUCUACUUAUCAAUAAACAGAAUAAUAAAUACAAAUAAAGCGGAGUAUAUAUAAUGCACAUAAAGCAACAGAAUAAAUGAGCACUGCACAUUUAGCUACACAAAAUAACAGAAUAAAUGAGCACUGCACAUUUAGCUACACAAAAUAACAAUAAAUUAGCACUGCACAUGUUGAUACACAAAAGAACAGGAUAAAUGAGUCAAAGUAUCUUAUAAUCAAGUUAAAUGUGAACCUGAAAUAUUUGUGUAUGAACAUGUUGUACAUAUCCUUAAACUUCAAAACAAAAUUCUCAACCAGCAAGGAAAAAUAUAAAUAUGACUUAUGUGUGUAGUUCUUUUUUAUAUUUAUCUCCCUUUGAAAGAGAAUUUAACAACUCAAAGUAAUGUCAUUGCAUUGAAGUAAUACUUUAUGGCAUUGUUAUAUUUCUUAACAUCCUGAGAUUCAUUAAUUUUGAUUUCAAUCAAAUGCUUAUAGGCAAGCCAAAAGGCUAGCAAUUUUUCUACUUCUCAAUUUUGUGAACAUUCUUUCACAAAUUCAAAAUUUUAAAUCUAUUUAAAUUGAUAUUGGACAAUUACAGUUUGUUUGAUUUUCAAUCUUCAAUUAUUGUAUAGUCCUGAAUUAAAUAAUUAUACACAGGCCCUAUUUGAUGAAUACUGAAUAAAAUGCCUGAUUAGAUUGAAGAGAGACAACUCAGAUUAAAGGGAGAUAACAUCCUGAUGAAUAAUGGACUUUCCGUUGUUACAAGAGAGACAACUCUAAUUAAAAAAAAGCAAACAAACGUUUUAUCAACCAAAUCAAACCAGAUAAAUUGAUCACACAAAUUAAGGUUCAUGUGGACCCUAUGUCUAACAUGGCCAUAUUUUCACCUCAAAAUUUACUCUUGGAGUACAGACAAACCUGCGCAUCUGUAAAAAUUUUAAGGCAUAGCAUGCCCUAGAUAAAUACAUUUCAAAUGUUUCAUGCUUUAGAAAAAUAAAAACUUAUCAGGAUUUGGCAGUGCACUUUUUUGCAUUCCUCCAGAAGGUGCCAAUAUAAACUUAGUGGGAAACAGGUUUGAGCUUCCCCAAGGUAAUUUAUAUUGAAGUGUGCGGUAUUGAUUGAUAUGAACAAUAGAUAGACAAUAGAUACCUGACAAUAAUUGGUGAUUUAAACUGUGUACCUGAGUGGCUCAUAUCAAGGGAAACUCUACUGUUUGUUAAUUUCAUCAUCUUCGAUGACAUUGAGAAUGUUCAAAAAGUGCAUGGCUAAAUCCAGGUAAGUUAUGAAUUUUCUAAAUAAUACAAUGCAUUUGAAUUAUAUUUAUCUAGGGCAUGCUAUGCCUUAAAACUUUUCCAGGUGCACAGGUUUGUCUGUACUCAAGAGUAAAUUUUGCGGUGAAAAUGUGGCCAUUUUAGACAAAGGGUCCACAUGAACCUUAAUUCAGUAGUUCACAGUAUAUAAUACUGUGGUAAAAUUGCACAGUCCCUUUCAGGAAAAUGAUCACAUGAUACUACUUCUACGUUAUAAUUUGUAUUCUGCUAUUUUUUCUGAGUUUUCAUAAAAUGCAAGAAAUCUCAUGGUCAAAUGUAAAUUAAAUAAUAUUUUUCUUUGCAAAACAUCAUAAAAUAUGAUUUGAGAAAACCCAACAAUAAAAAAAAAUUAUUCAAACUUUUCAGAAAAAAAUAAUAUGUUGAAAAUAUUUUAUAUUAAGGCAACAACUUUUGACAGUGUUGAUUUUUAUCCUGUUUAUUUCGUUUUGAAACGGAUCUUUCAAUGACAAUUUCAUAUCAAUGAAAAGUUGUAUUAAAUGAAAAAUCUAAACAAAAAUUCAGUUAUAGGAUGUGUACCAUGAAGAAUAUUGAUAUUUAAACGUGCAUUUUUUUCAAUAAAAAUUAAGAAAAUAGGAUGUAAACAAAGCAAAAUGCUGUUCAACAUAAAAACAUAAGGUAACUAAUACGGAAAUUAUACCCUAAUAUGUUAAGCAAUCUCUUAUUGCAUAAAUAAUACCCUUAUUAUUAUAAAACCUUUUUGAGAGAAAUUAACCCUGAUAUUUUUUUAAUUGGAAGCUGCUAAUAUUUUCCUUUGUGCAUGCAAAAAGUAACAGUUUUUGUUAGAUUGUUAAUAGUGAAAAUUAAAAAAAAAAGAAGGUUAGAGUUAUUUUUAAUUAAAUCUGUCAAUGUGGUAACUUUCCACAUAAGAAUGGUGUCUAUUGAAUGCAGCUCAAAUAAAUAUGAAAACAUAUUUGAUCUUGUUUUCAUCCUGUUAAUAAGAUCUUUGGUUACAGCUCUAAAUGUUGGGACUAAAUUUCUUCUCUUAAGAUUUAUGGAGUACCGGUAUAUUCCUCUUAUGUAUUUAAAAAAGCCUACCAAAAGAGGGCCUUUAAAGCCGAUUUUAUUGAGUGUGUAGGCAAAGGUAAUAUAUAUAAUAUUUGGUAAGCUUGCUUGUUAGCUGAACCAUGAAGUCAUUAUUAGGUAAGGUAUACUAUCCUCCUUUAGAAGUAGUCUAGUCCUAAAGACAGAUAGAUUGUUUAUCUGUUGGACUGGUCUAUUCUUAAGGAAGGGUAGUUUACCUAACCUAAUAAUGACUUCAUGGUUCAACUAGCAAGCAAGCUAACCAAAGAUAUAAUCUUUUCCUACACACUCACUGCAAUCAGCUGUAACAGAAAAAUGUGUCAGUGCCAGACUAACUCUACAAAACAAAUAAUUAUGCUGAACAUUUGUAAAUUAAAAAUACAAAAUAAAGUUAUACAAUGGGAUGAAAAAUGAAAAUAAAAAUAUCUCUAAAAUCGCUUAAAUUAUGCAACAAACAUAGAAAUUAUUUAGGAAGCAAACAAAAGGAGAUAAAUCAAUGUAUAUAAACAAUGUCAUAAUUAUGAUUCAAUACACAUACACUAACAAAUAAUCACAAAUACCAUAAAUCGGCAAUUCUAAAUCUAGAAGAAUAGGUAUUCCUAACAAAACCUAAUGGAUUUCAAAUAUUGAUAUAAAUGAUAGUUCGCUGGAUUUCUUGUACAAAUUCCCUGUUAUUCACUGUUCAAAAGGGGAAAGCAGAACAAAAAAAUGACAGAUUUCAAAUAUUGGAAUAAAUGAAAAUGUUAUGGAUUUCAAGUUCAAAUUCCAGCAUAUUCACUGUUCAAAAAGGGGUAAAACAGAGAAAAAAUGAUGGAUAUCAAAUACUGGAAUAAAUGAAUAUGCUAUGAAUUUCAAGUUCAAAUUCUAGAUUAUUCACUGUUCAAAAAGAGGUAAAAUAGAUUCCAUUAUGUAUAGGAGAUAAAAUAUCCUCAAUUUAAUUUUAUACAAAUUUUAGAUUUUCAACAUACCAACUAGUGGGAAUGCUGAAAUGCCAAAUUUAACCAUCAAAGUAGAGAAAUAUGUACUUUAUUUAUUUUUUAAUUAAAAAGAGGGUACAUUGAUUCUCACAUAUUUUUUUAUCUUGUUUUAGUUUAAUUAGUAGUUUAUAUGAAUUAUACAGAAUUUGCAUAUUCAGGUCAUCAAGAAAACAAUACAAUUGCAAUGCUUUACCCAAUAAAUAAAGUUUGAUUCAAAUGCUAGACUUACAAUUCAUGUAAAACAAUUAUAAUACAACUGAAAUGUAUAUUUGUACAAUUCAUAGGUACCACUACAGUACAUCUCAUACAAUGUAUAUUAGUUCAACUUUACAAAACAAGUAUCUGCACAAUAUAAGUGUUAAAAAAAUUGAAAUUUGGAAUAAAAAGACUAGUUUUUUUGCAUUGUUUCAUAAAUUUUGUCAAUUAGCAUGAGAGGGUUCUUUGACCGAAAUAGAUUUGGCGCGUACAAUUUUCGUAAAAUUUUGACAAAAAUAGAACCACAAAAUUUACAGGAAUGGUUUCAUUCAUAUAUAAAAGCUUGAUUUCUUUUUGCUUAUGACGAAAGCUUUCAGUUGAUUUUUAAAGAGUUCACUCCCCUAUGUGUUAGGUACCCCCUUUAUUUUGAAUGUCUUUUACUUGUUAAUGACAUGCCCAAUUUUCAGUUCCUUUACAUCAAAUCUAACAGUUAAUUCUAGCUUUACAACAAAACAAAUUUAAUCUCACAGAUCAAUAGUGAAUGUUCUGCAAAUGUUUAUAUCAAGCAGUCGUUCAACUAAGGGAACAUAUAUUUACUCUAGUGAGCUUCCUCCAGGCAUGCUUGGAGGAUGCUCCGAGCAUUUUAGAGAAGCUAAUAUCGUUAAUACACCAUUACAUUCCCAUUAAUGUCAAUCAAUUAUAAAAGUUAUAGUUAAGAGCUUGUAUGAGCUUUCUGUAAGCCUUUUGUACGCCUGUAAUAAUAAAGUUUUACUAUGUUGCCCUAGAAAAUUAGUUAAUUGACACAAAAAUAGAUAUAUCAAAACUUGAGGUUAAACAGUUUAGGGACAUUUAAUCAACAUGAGAACGAAAAGCUCUAAAUAAAUGACUAAAACAUAUUUAUAUAAAGCCGAUCAAAAUAACACAACAGUGGUUGUAAAUAAAAUCGAUUACUUCAAAACAGAAACAAGUCACCUUUACAGUUAUCAUUACUCGAAAAUAAAUAUUAACGUUGUUGUCAAAUCUAUAAAAGAUAUUGUUGAAAAACUAUAUAGGAAAAAAAGAAAUAGAUUAACAAACUUGUAAGUUUUUGAAGAAUAAUAACAAAUCAAAACAUGGACACAUUCUUCCAAAAAUUCAUAAAAUCAAUCUAGAAAUAAUUAAUUAGGCAUUUCGAACAAGUCAUAUAGUUGGCAACAUAAACAUUUCUUACCGACCAAUCAUCCAUAAGUGUAACUCUACUACAUGACGCAUUGAAAGAUUACUGGAUCUAAUUCUAAAACCAUUAUUGAAGGGUCAUCACUUUUACAUUCAAGAUACGAAAGACUUCAUUUAUAAAAUGUUCCUCUUUGUUAAGUAGAACAAGAGAAAAUGUAAUAAAAAUAUUUACCUAACAGAUGGUCAAAAGUUAUAACAAUAUAGUCACCUUCUUAUGAGUGGGGUUAAGUAAAACUAAUCUGCAAUUAUAACUUUAAAAUAUACAAUAAACUCAAUAUAUGAGCGGUCAAUAUUAUUUGUUCUCUAGUUAAAGUGUCAAUGAACUCACACUUAUGAACUCAACAAAUGAACAAAUAUACAGUUAUGACAGAUUCAUAAAUGAAAUGACUUAAUCUAUACAAAUAUAAUGCAGACUAUUUCAAAAUAAAUUAUGUUUGAACAUGGUUGUCAACUGAAUAUUUUUUUUUGCAACUAUUCAUUUAAUUGCUAAUGAAUAAUUAUAACAUUUAAUGAAUGAUCAUAACCCACUCAUAACACUAUUAAUUGAAAAUAACGGCACAAAAAUUAUUUUCUACACAUAAUCGCAAUGUAUCAUUCCGAACUAUACAUUUACCCAAGAACCAUAUUAUGAAAAUAUCAUUCUAUAAACCUGGUAAUCGGUUUAAGUUAAUUUUCUGAGGAAAAUUAAAGAGUCAAAUAGCAAAAUGUUCUUCUGCGAAUAUGAUGGUUCCAGGAUUUAUUUACAGUUUGUUCAAAUGGACAUUUCAAAGUUGUCCUGCUAUUUCUUAAUAUACAUUUGUUUAUUUGCAAUUAAA